GUCGCCUAUGGCGCGGACGCGAUGAGCGCCUAUGAAGCGCUGGAGAUCGCCACCCGUGGCGGCGCGGAUGUUCUGGGCCGCCCGGACUGCG
rnacentral:tRNA from 1 species